rnacentral:lncRNA from 7 species
AGUUUUGACCUCACAUGGCGGCCUGAUCGUGGAUGCAAGAUGUCAGCACGUCUCUGGUACGGCAAUGGAGCAGCAUCAUUCAUGAAAGAGCGUAAUGCACGGCUGAAUGUCAGCCUCCUCUCCUCUUGGCACAAAUGUGGUUUCCAUCCUAGAGCUUCCUUGAGAUCCAAUUAGCAUCAAAUGGUAAAUCAUCUCCUAUAGCUUGGUGUGUCUGCCUGACCUCAGCACUGGGACCAUGCUGCUAAAUUCUGCAGACCUGCAAGAAAGCCGGAGUCAAUAACUAAGAGGGCUUUCUCUUGAUUAACAGCCUGUGACCUCAUUCUCCCUCAUUGGCUCUGUGGCUGGGCGCACACAAGGAUUGCUCAUUUUGGAAUCAUUUGCUGGCAGCAGUACAAUCCUGGUCCAGAAUGGGGCUUGCCUGCAUGGAGCAGCAGUGAGCUGGGAGCAGAGAACUGCCCAGAACUUCCUUGGGAGCAGUGAGUCUCCAUCAUGGUUGCCUCAAUGCAGUGAUGGCACUGUGCUCAGUGUUAGGACCCAAAGGGUAACCAGGACAAGGAGGUUAUGGGGGUGACCAGUGAUAGGGGCAAUCACAGCUUCCCUGUACGUUGCAUUGCCCACAGGGCUGGGGCUUAAACCCCUUGGGAAGUGACUUCUCUUGGCUGGUGGAUGGUGAGACAACACUGGCCUGGUGUCACCUCUUUCAUGAUGUGUAAAUGUCAGGGAGACCCUUCAGGCUGUGGUGGUGGUGAGGCUCAAGUUGACAAAGGUCCAACUUUGCUGAGGAGGAGGUCCAGGCAGUGAGCCAAGAACCGUGCCCUACUAUUGGGGUUGGGCUCUCUGGGAAGAGCUCUUUGCACAGAGCACCAGAGGUUGACAGGCCUAGCAGAACGGUCCCAGAGGCUGAAUACAUCUCACAGGAGGCUUCUGGGCUCACGCCAAAUGCUCUUGAAGUGUUUUUACUAAGUUGGUCCUGGAAUAGGAAAGGUUACGUGCAGGAGAACCAAUGUGCAGGGAGAAUUUAUAACUAAAUGAAAAGCCAGUGUUCAGAGUUGUGCCUAAUUGGUUUCCGAGACCCAGAAAGCCACACAAUGUCCUUAGGCUGUGCUUGCCUUUAUUUAAGUGGGAAAGUUUUCGGAAUCCCUGGGAGAGAGAGAGCUCAUGUGACAGCAAAUGAAAAAUGGGAGGCCUGAAGCAGUGGCCUUAUGUUAACUUCAAGCUGGAGGAGACUCAAAUUCAGUGCAAAGGCUACUGUGAGGCGUGAUGGAGACAGCCUUGCUGCUGUGCACCGAGAGCCAUCUGGGCUUUUCAGGUCAGAAGAAAAUCUGUGUGUACCUCGGCUAGUAAUGACAACAGUCAUAUUUGCUGGGCUGUGUUGUGUUUUACCACUGGAGACUGUGGCUGGAUUGAAAGAAUGGACAAUGGAAGGAUGUGGUUUCCCUUUUUCAGCAUUUCAGGCAAUUUUGAGAAAAAUGAAUGAUGUUCUUAACUGAUCUUCAAUCUUCUAAGAGCCAGGUCUGACCAUCUGUCUGCAAUUAGUUCCCCCAGCCCUGCAGUCUUCUCUCUUUGAAGUUCACACACUUUUCUUUUUGGUACAAUAAUAAUAAAGAAACUUCAAAG